GGUCAGGUUAGCUCAGUCGGUUGGAGCAUUGUGCUGGUAACACUAAGGUCAUGGGUUUGAUCCCCACUCAGUCCC
rnacentral:tRNA from 1 species